rnacentral:rRNA from 1 species
GGGUUGUGAGGUUAAGCGACUAAGCGUACACGGUGGAUGCCCUGGCAGUCAGAGGCGAUGAAGGACGUGCUAAUCUGCGAUAAGCGUCGGUAAGGUGAUAUGAACCGUUAUAACCGGCGAUUUCCGAAUGGGGAAACCCAGUGUGUUUCGACACACUAUCAUUAACUGAAUCCAUAGGUUAAUGAGGCGAACCGGGGGAACUGAAACAUCUAAGUACCCCGAGGAAAAGAAAUCAACCGAGAUUCCCCCAGUAGCGGCGAGCGAACGGGGAGCAGCCCAGAGCCUGAAUCAGUGUGUGUGUUAGUGGAAGCGUCUGGAAAGGCGCGCGAUACAGGGUGACAGCCCCGUACACAAAAAUGCACAUGCUGUGAGCUCGAUGAGUAGGGCGGGACACGUGGUAUCCUGUCUGAAUAUGGGGGGACCAUCCUCCAAGGCUAAAUACUCCUGACUGACCGAUAGUGAACCAGUACCGUGAGGGAAAGGCGAAAAGAACCCCGGCGAGGGGAGUGAAAAAGAACCUGAAACCGUGUACGUACAAGCAGUGGGAGCCUCUUUAUGGGGUGACUGCGUACCUUUUGUAUAAUGGGUCAGCGACUUAUAUUCUGUAGCAAGGUUAACCGAAUAGGGGAGCCGAAGGGAAACCGAGUCUUAACUGGGCGUUAAGUUGCAGGGUAUAGACCCGAAACCCGGUGAUCUAGCCAUGGGCAGGUUGAAGGUUGGGUAACACUAACUGGAGGACCGAACCGACUAAUGUUGAAAAAUUAGCGGAUGACUUGUGGCUGGGGGUGAAAGGCCAAUCAAACCGGGAGAUAGCUGGUUCUCCCCGAAAGCUAUUUAGGUAGCGCCUCGUGAAUUCAUCUCCGGGGGUAGAGCACUGUUUCGGCAAGGGGGUCAUCCCGACUUACCAACCCGAUGCAAACUGCGAAUACCGGAGAAUGUUAUCACGGGAGACACACGGCGGGUGCUAACGUCCGUCGUGAAGAGGGAAACAACCCAGACCGCCAGCUAAGGUCCCAAAGUCAUGGUUAAGUGGGAAACGAUGUGGGAAGGCCCAGACAGCCAGGAUGUUGGCUUAGAAGCAGCCAUCAUUUAAAGAAAGCGUAAUAGCUCACUGGUCGAGUCGGCCUGCGCGGAAGAUGUAACGGGGCUAAACCAUGCACCGAAGCUGCGGCAGCGACGCUUAUGCGUUGUUGGGUAGGGGAGCGUUCUGUAAGCCUGUGAAGGUGUGCUGUGAGGCAUGCUGGAGGUAUCAGAAGUGCGAAUGCUGACAUAAGUAACGAUAAAGCGGGUGAAAAGCCCGCUCGCCGGAAGACCAAGGGUUCCUGUCCAACGUUAAUCGGGGCAGGGUGAGUCGACCCCUAAGGCGAGGCCGAAAGGCGUAGUCGAUGGGAAACAGGUUAAUAUUCCUGUACUUGGUGUUACUGCGAAGGGGGGACGGAGAAGGCUAUGUUGGCCGGGCGACGGUUGUCCCGGUUUAAGCGUGUAGGCUGGUUUUCCAGGCAAAUCCGGAAAAUCAAGGCUGAGGCGUGAUGACGAGGCACUACGGUGCUGAAGCAACAAAUGCCCUGCUUCCAGGAAAAGCCUCUAAGCAUCAGGUAACAUCAAAUCGUACCCCAAACCGACACAGGUGGUCAGGUAGAGAAUACCAAGGCGCUUGAGAGAACUCGGGUGAAGGAACUAGGCAAAAUGGUGCCGUAACUUCGGGAGAAGGCACGCUGAUAUGUAGGUGAAGUCCCUCGCGGAUGGAGCUGAAAUCAGUCGAAGAUACCAGCUGGCUGCAACUGUUUAUUAAAAACACAGCACUGUGCAAACACGAAAGUGGACGUAUACGGUGUGACGCCUGCCCGGUGCCGGAAGGUUAAUUGAUGGGGUUAGCGGUAACGCGAAGCUCUUGAUCGAAGCCCCGGUAAACGGCGGCCGUAACUAUAACGGUCCUAAGGUAGCGAAAUUCCUUGUCGGGUAAGUUCCGACCUGCACGAAUGGCGUAAUGAUGGCCAGGCUGUCUCCACCCGAGACUCAGUGAAAUUGAACUCGCUGUGAAGAUGCAGUGUACCCGCGGCAAGACGGAAAGACCCCGUGAACCUUUACUAUAGCUUGACACUGAACAUUGAGCCUUGAUGUGUAGGAUAGGUGGGAGGCUUUGAAGUGUGGACGCCAGUCUGCAUGGAGCCGACCUUGAAAUACCACCCUUUAAUGUUUGAUGUUCUAACG